rnacentral:rRNA from 1 species
CCCUUAGAUGUUCUGGGCCGCACGCGCGCUACACUGAUGCAUUCAACAAGCCAAGCCUUGACCGAGAGGUCCGGGUAAUCUUUGAAACUGCAUCGUGAUGGGGCUAGAUUAUUGCAAUUAUUAAUCUUCAACGAGGAAUGCCUAGUAAGCGUGAUUCAUCAAAUCGCGUUGAUUACGUCCCUGCCCUUUGUACACACCGCCCGUCGCUCCUACCGAUUGAAUGUGUUGGUGAGGAGCUCGGAUUGGCAGCAGUUGGUGGUUCGCCACCGGCUAUUGCUGAGAAGUCCUCCAAACCGCCCCAUUUAGAGGAAGGAGAANUCGUANCA